GGGGGGAGAUGCAGUAGGAGGAGGCAAAGGGAGAGGAGGGGAGGGUGAAGAUGUGGGAGGAGGAAGAGAAGGAGGAGCUAUCAGCUGUGGCAGAGAGUGGAUGGUGGGUACUGCGCUGAGCAGACAAGUGUGAGACUGAGGCUGCCACAGCCUAAGCAGGUUGGGAAGAGAAGGAGGGCUUGAGGCCACAGCUGAAGUGGAACAGGAGGGAGAAGGGAGCCGGGGCCCAGGCUGAGUGCGCACAGUUGCGGCUGAAAAUGGAAGUCAUGGGUGGACAGGCCCCUGGGGGGCCUGGAGGUCUGGCAGCGGUAAAUAUGGGGCCUGAAGCCCUCAUCCUAGCAGUGGCAGUGGCUGGGGCUGGAGGAGGGCCGGGGCCUACGACAGCGGCCGGGAGUGGAUCAAGUCCAGAGUCCGAGACAUGGACAUGGACAUGGACAUGGAAGGGGGAGUGGUCAGGGCAGGAUAUAGCACUAGGCCCGACGUUGGCCGCUCUAUUGCUGCUGUACGCUGCAUUAUGGGCCAGUGUGGUAGAGCUGAGAUGGAGGGUCCUGGACCUUGCGCAGCAGCAGGAAGAAGAACCAGACCCAGAAGCAGGGGCAGAGGAAAGGGCAGAGACAAAGACAGAAGUAGACGCAGGGGCGGAAGCAAAGCAGGUGCAGGAGCAGGAGGCUAAACAGGAGUCAGAGCUCGAACACAAGCCAGAGGCAGUGCCCGAGAUGGAGAAGGAGCCAAAGGCAGAGCUGGAGGAGCUACGGGAGCCUUCGGGUGCUUGGGGCCCAAAGGAACCUGCAUCUUUAUGUGAGAUAGGGCCCUGGAUCAAUGGGCCUACGCCAAUGGUGUGCGCCUGCCCUAGGGAACUAGCAGGUUCAACGGUUGCUGUCCGCUCGGGUAUGGUGCUGAAAUUGACGCCAUUGUACGCAAGAUCAGGGGGUUUGCUGCUGUCUCACUCUCAGCAAGAGAUCCUAGAUCAGCGCAGCUUUCGAUUCCCGCGUCCUUUCGGAGUGGAUCUGGUCUGCUCGAACAGCUUCUGGAACAAUGGACCCUUCUUCCCUCGGCUUGGAGCCUUCCAAGAGCAUCUGCUUAACCUACUAGAGCAGGAGUCCUGCCAAGCCAGGACCAACAUCCUCAUCUUCCUGGACACCAAGGUCAUGAAAAAAUUCUACAAUCAGGUUUUCAAUGCCUACAAAAUGAAUGGAGAACCAAAAAUGAGUGGCCUACCACUCCAGCAGCUCUUUGAGAUCUUGCUGUCCUGUAAGAAGAUCACAAGUACCUAUAUUAAGAGGAACAUUGCUGUAACCAUAGAGGGGGAAGCUGCACAUUUGCUCAAUUUUGAUACAGGUGAGCUGCCAACCCUCCAAGAAGUUUCAAAUCAUUUGUAAUCAGAGAAAGGUUGUAUAUCAGAGUUGGAAUCAAUGUCAGAAGAUAUCAAGGUUAACCUGUCACCUGAAGAGCUACAGAGAGACCCCAGAGGCUAGAUAUCCCCAAUUCUUCCAACCAAUGCUCAUGUGGCAUAUAUUCUAGACACGCCUAAUCCCCUCUCCCUGUCUCCAGUCAAGUUGCUCUCAUUGCUUUUCCUGAAAAUGUAGCACUGAGAAUUGAACACAAUACUUCAGAUGCAAUCUAACCAAAGUAGCAAAGAGCAGUGCUAUCAUGUUCCUUGUGCUGGGCAUUAUGUUUCUAUUCAUUUAUUUGGAUAGCAGCCUGGCAUUUAGGUUCUGGCUCACUCUGGGAGAAAAAAAUCAGAGAGAAUUUUGAAUGGUUAUUAUACUUGAAGGGGAAAGGUGAGAUGCUAGCUGACUCUGGGGGAAAAACUGGAAUGUUUUUAAGGGCCAUUCUGCUUCAAGUGAAGGAUGAGGGACAUGGUGAAAAAGAGACAUACAAAGAUAAUAAUAUUAAUAGCUCAUGUAGUGCCCUACAGUUUAUAAAGUGCUUCCCCUAAGAUGAUCCAAUGUGGGGAGUAGUGCAUGUAUCAUUAUGCCCAUUUUAUAGAUGAGGAGAAAAGAUCUUAGAGGAAGGAGUUUUACAGUUAGAGUCUAUUUUCCUUUAUCUCAUACUGCUUUGUAAUGUGUGGCUAUACAUUUCUAUUUCAAAGUAAAAUCAAAGUUUUACUUCAGAUGUGAGUCUAUCUUGAUCUAACAGUCAAAUUCUAAUCACCAUUUAUAAUUUCCUCUUCAAAUCUGAAUUCCUUUCAGGGUAUGAUGUGAAUCUUGGACUUCGGGGCCUGGAAUCAAAUGAAGAAAUAGUCACCAACAUGGCAACAAUGGAGAACUGUACAGAUGUUUUCCAGCCUCUGUCAACUAAUGCUAAACAACCCAGCGAAAUUGUUGAAGAAUUUAAAAAUGAUGGGUUGUUUGGUGAUCAUUUUGAGUGAACAGUUGCAAGGAGAAAAGGUCUUCCAUAUAUGGUAGACCUAUCUAGCCAGGAUAUUCUUGCAAAAGCCUCCAAAGUUAGUGAAAAUACUCCUAAUGAGCAAAUUGUGUUGUCAUGGUUUCAUGCCUUUAAAUGUAGAUCAAACAAAUCUGGUUAUAAAAUAUAGGAUUCCAAUGAACUGUCAGUUUCACACACUGGAAAAACACAAACAUACACACACACACCACUGUCAUGCUUAGUAUAAACUGGGUUACCAAGGAUAAAAAAAAUGCAGUACUUGAUGUCUUGUGAUUUCAUGAGAAAGAAUGAGGUACUAGAGCUCUGGUCCCCCCUUACUUGUAAAGAUAUCAUGGAAUGGCAGAGGAGGACACAGAAACACAGAAUUCACAGCUGGGAGAGACCCUGAACAUAGUACAAAGGAUGCCACAUUUAGGAGGGAUCUUAAAGAGGUUCCGUUAGAGGAGUCUGCAGUUAGCUUUAGUGUCUCUCUUCAAAUAUGUGCCAAAAUAAGGAAUGGAGACUGUACUUGUAUGUUGAUUCCUUUCAUUAAUGCACUAUGAAUCACCCCAUUAGAGAAAUGUUGAUUGUAUGUGAUCCUAUAUAUAAUGCCCAUCUGUAGAGCAUAGUUAUUAAAGUGAUAUUAUUGUUUCUUAUAUAGUAAAUGAAUAUUGUUGGUCUUUUUUGUAUUGUAUUAAUGGAUAAGUUAAAUAAAUAUAUAAAACAGUAUGUAUGAAGUUGGUGG
rnacentral:lncRNA from 1 species